CACGUAGGGCGCAAGCGUUGUCCGGAAUUAUUGGGCGUAAAGAGCUCGUAGGCGGUCUGUUGCGUCCGCUGUGAAAACUCGGGGCUUAACCCCGAGCCUGCAGUGGAUACGGGCAGACUAGAGGUAGGUAGGGGAGAAUGGAAUUCCCGGUGUAGCGGUGAAAUGCGCAGAUAUCGGGAGGAACACCGGUGGCGAAGGCGGUUCUCUGGGCCUUACCUGACGCUGAUACGCGAAAGCGUGGGGAGCAAACAGG
rnacentral:rRNA from 1 species